GCGUAACGCGUGGGAAUCUGCCCUUGGGUUCGGGAUAACAGUUGGAAACGACUGCUAAUACCGGAUGAUGACUUCGGUCCAAAGAUUUAUCGCCCAGGGAUGAGCCCGCGUAGGAUUAGGUAGUUGGUGGGGUAAUGGCCUACCAAGCCGACGAUCCUUAGCUGGUCUGAGAGGAUGAUCAGCCACACUGGGACUGAGACACGGCCCAGACUCCUACGGGAGGCAGCAGUGGGGAAUAUUGGACAAUGGGCGAAAGCCUGAUCCAGCAAUGCCGNNUGNNUGAUGAAGGCCUUAGGGUUGUAA
rnacentral:rRNA from 1 species